rnacentral:rRNA from 1 species
CGCCUUUUGAGAAAAUAGAAGGUCUGACCUGCCCCCUGAGUGUUUAAAGGGCCGCGGUAUUUUGACCGUGCAAAGGUAGCAUAAUCAUUAGUCUUCUAAUUAAAGGCUGGAAUGAAUGGUUGGACGAGGUAUUAGCUGUCUCACUAGGAUGGAUUCUGAAUUUAGCCUUUUAGUUAAAAGGCUAAAAUGCAAUUGGAGGACGAGAAGACCCUAUAGAGCUUUACAAUAAACCUUUUUAUUUUGUUUGGAUGGGUUCCAAAUUUAAAGUGGAGUUGUUUUGUUGGGGUGACAGGAAGAUAAGAGUAACUCUUUUUAUUUAAAUUCACUGAUGAGUGAAUAAUUGAUCCAUAAUUUAUGAUUAUAAGAUUAAGUUACCUUAGGGAUAACAGCGUAAUCUUUUUUGAGAGUUCUAAUCGACGAAAAGGGUUGCGACCUCGAUGUUGGACUAAGGAUUAUUUUUGGGUGUAGCAGCUUAAAGUUUGGGUCUGUUCGACCUUUGAAUCCUUACAU